AUGCUAUUUGACCUUCAAGGGGAGCCAUUUUGUUGCCAGAUGCUGGACCAGGUGCUAAGACCUGUGAUGAGAAAACCGGAUGGUCCUUGCCCUGCCUUCCUGGAACAGAUGAAUAUUAAAGAAAUAAUCCCAGAAAUAUAUCGGAAUGGUCUGAGGACCGGCCAGCACGCCCUCCGAUUUUGCAACAGGACGAGCACCUACGCGUAAGUAGAAAGUGGGCACAACUGCAAACGCGUAACAAACGUGCAGAAACAAAGAAGUACCUGCGUUUCUAAUCUUUUCCCAGUCGCUUCUUUUAUGAAGAGGACAGUCACAUCUGCAGUAACUUCCCUCAGUUAUGAUAUCUGGUGCAACUGGGGCAAAUAGACACACGUAACUAGUUGGCUGAAAAAGCGGACUAGGGUGGGGCAUCAAAAGAGGUUGAACAUACGACCCCUUAAAUAUUUUGAGUUUAAAAUACACAAAUGCACACUCACAUGCUGGUCGGUAAAGAUGAGCGCCUGUUCUUGGGAGUAUGGACCCUCCGAUGGGAAAUCUACAGCUGUCUUCUUGAGUCCCUGUCUCUUUAAAGAAGAAAGAGAACUUAAGACUUGAGCGAAGCAAUCCAAGUGUGGAAUUUUUACUGGAUCCCCCCAAAUCCUAGUUGUCCUGUUCACACCUACUUUGACAGCAGGUGUGGUUUGUUUUUUUGUGGGUUUUUUUUUGAUGUUUAUUUUUGAGAGAGAGAGCAAGCACGAGCAGGGGGAGGGCGCAGAGAGAGGAAGGCACAGAAUCCAAAGUUGUCUCCAGGCUCUCAGCUGUCGGCACAAACCGGCUCAAACCAAGGAACCGUGAGAUCAUGACCUGAGCUGAGGUCAGACGCUUAACUGACUGAGCCACCCAGGUGCCCUACAGGGUUUUUCAGUGGCUCACCUUUGGUUAUAUAUGUUAUAUAUAUACGUUAACUAAAAAUUGUGAUAACUGUUGCGCUAGGAGAGACAAAAAAAAGAAUUCCUGGGAAAGCAUCACCUUGGAUUUCCUGGGAAUUCUUUUUUUGUUCCUCAUAGUGCAAUAGUUUUCAUGAUGUUUAGUUAGCGUAUAUUAUUUUACAACGCUACCCACAGUGGCAUAAACAGACUUGUGAAGAAACACACACCUAACUUUCGGAGAAUCCAAGUGGGGUGGAGGGAGGCGCAAACUGGCACUCGAGGAAGUGGCCGACUGUGGCACGUGGGCUCAGCGGCGGCGGCCAUCAGUUUUACGGAGGGGAGUGGAGGUGAUUAAUCCAUCAAAUCGCUCAAGAGGAAGUCAGACAAAAAUGCUUUGUCUUUAGAGCCUUCAUGCUUAAUAUAAACAAUAUGUAAAUAUAUAUGGACACACAUACAUAUGUGUGUGUGUGAAAUAUUCUUUUACUUGUGUUCUGCCAUGGUUAUGAUCACAACCAGGAGUGGGUUUUAAGUUUUAUCAAAUGUCUUUCUGGCACCCGUUAAGACAACUCUGAUUUUCCUCAUUUGACUAAUAAAUAUGAAAAAGUACAUUAAGAAGAACUGAAA
rnacentral:lncRNA from 1 species